GGCACCUCGAUGUCGGCUCGGCACAUCCUGGGGCUGGAGAAGGUCCCAAGGGUUGGGCUGUUCGCCCAUUAAAGUGGCACGCGAGCUGGGUUCAGAACGUCGCGAGACAGUUCGGUCUCUAUCUAUUGCGGGCGUUAGAAAUUUGAAGGGAGCUGACUUUAGUACGAGAGGACCGAGUCGGACAAACCUCUAGUGUACCUGUUGUGGCGCCAGCUGCAUCGCAGGGUAGCUACGUUUGGAUGAGAUAAGCGCUGAAAGCAUAUAAGCGCGAAACUCACCCUAAGAUGAGAUUUCUUUUAAGGGUCGUUCGAGACUAGGACGUUGAUAGGC
rnacentral:rRNA from 1 species